GACGAACCGUGCGAACGUUGUUCGGAAUCACUGGGCUUAAAGGGCGCGUAGACGGGCUGACAAGUCUGGGGUGAAAUCCCGCGGCUCAACCGUGGAACUGCCUUAGAUACUGUCGUCCUCGAGGGAGGUAGGGGCGUGCGGAACUGUAGGUGGAGCGGUGAAAUGCGUUGAUAUCUACAGGAACUCAGGUCGCGAAAGCGGCGCGCUGGACCUCUUCAGACGCUGAGGCGCGAAAGCUAGGGGAGCAAACGGG
rnacentral:rRNA from 1 species